GACGAACGCUGGCGGCGUGCUUAACACAUGCAAGUCGAACGGAAAGGCCCUGCUUUUGUGGGGUGCUCGAGUGGCGAACGGGUGAGUAACACGUGAGUAACCUGCCCUUGACUUUGGGAUAACUUCAGGAAACUGGGGCUACUACCGGAUAGGAGCUCCUGCUGCAUGGUGGGGGUUGGAAAGUUUCGGCGGUUGGGGAUGGACUCGCGGCUUAUCAGCUUGUUGGUGGGGUAGUGGCUUACCAAGGCUUUGACGGGUAGCCGGCCUGAGAGGGUGACCGGCCACAUUGGGACUGAGAUACGGCCCAGACUCCUACGGGAGGCAGGAGUGGGGAAUAUUGCACAAUGGGCGGAAGCCUGAUGCGGCAACGCCGCGUGCGGGAUGACGGCCUUCGGGUUGUAAACCGCUUUCGCCUGUGACGAAGCGUGAGUGACGGUAAUGGGUAAAGAAGCACCGGCUAACUACGUG
rnacentral:rRNA from 1 species